rnacentral:lncRNA from 1 species
GGGGGGUUUGGGGAACACUGGGGGAUAGUGGGAGGGAUUUGGGGGGGUACUGGGAGGUAUUGGAGGGAUAGUGGGAGCACUGGGAGGGAUUUGAGGGGUACUGGGAGCACGGGGAGGAGGUUUGGGAGGACUUUAAGUGUUACUGGGAGCACUGGGAGGGAUUUGAGGGGUACUGGGAGCACUGGGAGGUGUUGGAGGUGCACCGGGGGUGGCUUGGGGGUUUACUGGGAGCACUGGGAGGGAUUUCGGGGGUACUGGGAGCACGGGAAGGAGGUUUGGGAGGGACACUGGGGGUUACUGGGAGCUCUGGGAGGGAUUUUGGGGGUACUGGGAGCACUGGGAAGAGGUUUGGGAGGGAUUUUUGGGCUUCUGGGAGCACUGGGAGGGAUUUCAGGGGUACUGGGAGCAACUGGGAGGGAUUUGAGGGGUACUGGGAGCACUGGGAGGAGGUUUGGGAGAGACACUGGAGGGUAUUGGGGGCACUGGGAGGAACUGGGAGGUACUGGGAGCACUGGGAGGGCGUUUUGGGGGAACACCAGGGGGUACUGGGAGGGAUCUGUGGGGCACUGGGAGGUAUUGGAGGGAUACUGGGAGCACUGGGGGGAGGUGUGGGGGGAGGGCUCGGGGGGUUACUGGGAGGCACUGGGAGGCACUGGGAGGCACUGGGAGCCCGGUGGCCUUCCCGUGUCCCCGGGAGCCUUUGCGGCAGGAAACGCCGCUCGCCCGCCACCAUUGUCAGGGCCGGCAAAAAAAACGACCCCGUUUUGGGUGAAAAAACGCCCGGAUUGGGGCCCACCGGUGCCAGGGAGCUGCUGCGGCUCUCGUGAAUCCGUCCCCGUCGGAUUUGGGGUGAAAAAGGGCAAAAACGGGCCGAUCGCUGGCGGCGAGCGGCUGGGGGAGUUAAGCGGCGCGUGGAUUGCGUUUUGGGGCGCCGCCAUGGAGGCCGGGGGUCCCCGUCGGGACGGGGCCGUCCCCAGCGAGCCCCGCGGCGCAGGUGAGGACGCGGGGCGCGGGGAGCUCCUCGGGGACGGGGGGUUUUUGGGGCAAAAAGGCGGGAAUUUGGGGAAAAAAAACACAAAAAGGGGUGGUCUUCUGCUGGGAGUGGCCCUUCGUGGUCACGGGUGGCCACCAGGAGAUGUUCUCCGUGGAGGAACGUCGUGACGUGGUCACGGGUGACCACCAGGAGAUGUUCUCCGUGGAGGAACAUCUCGACAUGGUCAUGGGUGACCACCAGGAGACGUUCUCCACGGAGAACAUCUCCACAUGGUUGGUUGAUGACCCACCAAGACGUUCUCCAUGGAGGAACAUCUCUACGUGGCCAUACCUUGACCUCCUAUGAGAUGUUCCUCCAUGGAGAACACCUCUACAUGGUCACACGAUGACCCACCAGACGUUCUCCAUGGAGGAACAUCUCUACGUGGCCAUACCUUGACCUCCUAUGAGAUGUUCCUCCAUGGAGAACACCUCUACAUGGUUGUUUGAUGACCCACCAGAUGUUCUCCAUGGAGGAACAUCUCUACAUGGCCAUACCUUGACCUCCUAUGAGAUGUUCCUCCACGGAGAACAUCUCCACAUGGUUAUUUGAUGACCGACCAAGACGUUCUCCAUGGAGGAACAUCUCUACGUGGCCAUACCUUGACCUCCUAUGAGAUGUUCCUCCAUGGAGAACAUCUCCACAUGGUUGUUUGAUGACCCACCAGACGUUCUCCAUGGAGGAACAUCUCUAUGUGGCCAUAACUUGACCUACUAUGAGAUGUUCCUCCAUGGUGGAACACCUCUACAUCGUUGUUUGAUGACCCACCAAGACGUUCUCCAUGGAGGAACAUCUCUACAUGGCCAUACGUUGACCUCCUAUGAGAUGUUCCUCCACGGAGAACAUCUCCACAUGGUUAGUUGAUGACCCACCAAGAUGUUCUCCGUGGAGGAACAUCUCUACACGGCCAUAUGUUGACCUCCUAUGAGAUGUUCCUCCACGGAGAACAUCUCCACAUGGUUGGUUGAUGACCCACCAAGAUGUUCUCUGUGGAGGAACAUCUCUACAUGGCCAUACCUUGACCUCCUAUGAGAUGUUCCUCCACGGAGAACAUCUCCACAUGGUUGGUUGAUGACCCACCAAGACGUUCUCUGUGGAGGAACAUCUCUACAUGGCCAUAUGUUGACC